GCGGAUUGUUUUUGUCGUGUAAUUGAUUGUGUUUUUAAGCAAUUGAAGUAACAUGGAGAAAGUCAUAAUUACUCCUGAAUUGUCGUUUGUUUCUAUGUGCACUGCGACUGGUUAGCGACAAGUCCAGGGUGUGUGCUGACGCUGAUAAACUCCAAUUCACCCCUGACUUUUAUUAGUAAGAGUGAAAUAGAAAAUGGAUGGAUGGGUUGAUUUUAUUCCGUACUCAACUAAGGUAAUUUAGUCGUAUGGUCAUUCCUACCCUCAGUGUUAAGACUUAAUUGAAUGACUUUUUAACAACGCCAUUGAUUAAAUAGUAGAUUGUAAUUGCUUAGCAUAUGUUGUGCACGCCACGAAAAACAGUGGAAUUCAUUGUUGGGAAAAAAAAAAAAUCAUCAUUUCUAAUGCAUUUCUGCCCCACUUAUAAAAAUUACAUAUCUUCUCAUCCUUUGGUAUGCAUUCAUAUUUUUAGCUCAUCUUCUGUUUCUUCUUGCAUCUUGCUGAUUUACGAUGCUCAUUACGACUGUUUAUGCCCUGAGCUUCCUUCCCCUACCCACUCUCCUACACUGUCUAAUGAUAGUGCUACCAUAAUUGGAUCUAUUUUCUCCAUUUUUCCUUUGCUGGUCAAAGAACAUAAUGACCCCCCACUGUUUUUUAUGGUGAAACCUUAAAGUGGGUUUGAUGCCAAAUAAGAGGAAACUGCUAAAUGUGUUAACAAGGCCAAAACUUUGAAAAGUAGGGUGUAAUUUAACAUUUCAACAACAUUAGCAAAAUUUGCAACAACAACGGAUGCAAUACACACCUUAGUUUGCGCUGAGGGAAAAUACUUCCACACAGAUUUAAUAUUUUGUUACAUUUUGUUAAAUGUUAAAGACAUAAUGUGUGUUAGAAAUGAAAGGAAGAAGUAAGACUGUUCUUAAAGGUCUGUUUUUUUCCUUCGUUCACCACUCUCUUCAUAUAUCCGCCUCCUCGUCUCACUUUGUGGUUAUUCUGCACAGUGGAGCGAUUAUGCUUUUAGCUGAGGAAAAGUAGCAAGCGCGCACUUAAGAUUUCCAGAAGAACUGACCUUUCUCCCGACCAGGGAGCUGUUCAUCUAUUGAUGUCCACCUAUCAUUGUCUGAGGAUAUGGAUAAUUAAACCACUGACAUUUCAUGUUCAAUUUCUAAUUGCCAAUCUCCAACAUUUAAAGAAGCAGAUUAUUUGGCAAACAAGUUAGGUUAAAUCAAUUCAAUUUUUUUUUUUUUUUUUUCAUUAUUUCACAUUAAUGUUUCCCCACUUAUUUUAACCACAUUUGUAAACAGCAUAUUGAUCAGUUGUUGUUGUUUUUUUUUUUUUUUGCUUAUUUGACUUAAGUACUGUAUUUGUUUGUUAGUUUUUUUCUGUUUAUAUUACUAACUGAUAGCACCAUUUUACACUUCAAAGGGUAUGAUUCGAUACAAAAACAAAGCUGCUGUCAUUUGCUGUCAAACCGCUCGAAGUGUACAGACGCACAUUCUGAGCUCCUGAAAGCACGCUUUAAUGGUAGAUUUUGGGAGCAACCUGAUGUUUUUUUUAAAUUUUUUUAAACUAAUCUCUUUAAAACGAUAUAUUGAUUCUUGGUGAGAGCGUAUCGAUAACCUUUUAAUGCUACAAAGUAUUGCGAUAUAUCACCUUAACGCUUGCAAAAAGAAAGCGCUGUAUGAGUAUGUUAUCUCCCAAGGACAGGGCCUGCGAGGAGAAGUUUAAGAAAUAUAGAAAUAAGCUAAACUCCCUACACCAACUUGGACAUCAACUGAUACAAUGAACCCACUCAAAUUGACAAUAUGUGAAAUUCCAUGGCAAUCAGUGACUUUUGAAUGAUAUGUGAAAAAAAAACAAAACAAAACAAAAAAACUGAUAAUAACUGGACUGUAACACAUACAUGCUUGACUGUGCGUGCCGAGCUGUUGGGGGACGGGUAUCGAUAAGCAUUUGCUUUUUCUCGUCUUUCCUUUGUCUGUCAUCGUCUUUCUUUCGGGCAAAUUCCACACUCGGAACCUGUCAAUGAUUAUGAUGAUGAUGACAAUGACAAUAAAUUCAUUUAUUCAUUCAUUCAUUCAUUCAUUCAAAGACGUAACAGCUCGAUUACGAUUCAAUUCAGUUAGGAAGCCAUAUAAUGUGGGGAAAAAUUGAUUUAUUUUUGUAAUCUAGUAUUUAUUUUAAAGUUGGCCCUCUGAAGAAAUCGCUUUAAACACCUAAAGGUGACUGCAGUCUUUAUUAGAGGUGUUUAAAAAAAUCGAUUCUGCGAUUUAUCGCAAUAUUACAUCUAGCAAUUCCCAUAUCCAUUUAAAAUCGAUCUGUAUCGAUCCUUAAAUGUGUGUUUUUGGUAGUAAAAAACAAUUCAGUGGCUGCACUUCUACUCCCGUCCAGUAGUUGGCAGCGCGCAGCAGCAUUAACAUUAUCCUAGUAGAAAUUAGUGUACGUUGUCCUCUAGUGGUUGCUCGGAUUAGUCCUUCUAUAAAUCUAAAAUCUUUGGCUUAUUUUGGCCUUGACUGCAAAAACGGAGGUAUGGAGUAUUCAGAAUCCUGCAUUUAAGCAGGGUUGCACUAAAAAGAGAAAAUAUUACAAUGAAAGCCAUAUGUUUUUCAAACAUAAAAACAUGUUUACCUGAGUGCUGGAUGAGGUUUAAGGAUUAAAUUGAUUUGAAUGUAUUUAUGUCCAUUUUGAUUUAUUUUUUCGAAAGUGAUACAAAAUCGCAAGAAUUGUCUUCAAGUGUAGUAUCGGGAUGGAAUCGAAUUGUGACCUGUAAAUUGUGAUACGGAUGGUAUCUCCAGAUAUGAGGCAAUACACAACCCUGGUCACUAUAGUACUUCCUACCAGCUUGUACGACUGAUCCGGUAAUGCAACGAAGCAGGUGCAAGGACUGUUAUUUGAGUACCUGUGGUGUUUUAAAAAUCAAAACAACGUGAAUUUUCAAGCAACUGAUGACGAACGUUGUGAUAUAUCUAGUGAACAACUUAACAAUUGAUGUAUUUCAGGAUUACUGGUGGAUUUUGUAUCGAUUGAGGCGCCUGCUGUCGAGACAUUUGUAUCUGCUGCUUUCGCGAAUCGUCUUUUGUCCCAAUUCUAGUAGCAAAGUAGCAAGGCCUGAUGGCAUUCCAGUUUUCAUUAUAACAAGCUACCGGGUUGCCCUCCCACAAAAACAAUAAGCCAAAUCUGUUAAUACUUUGAUAAAUUAAGGGUUUAAAUUUAUUUAUUUUUUUUAAAUAAAAUGUCUUAAUAUUGCCAUUUCUAGCAGAUUAGGCCGCAAUUUGUUGCAUUGGGUACCUCGGCAACAGAGGUUGCGCUAGACUUUUUCGCUGUCUGUCAUUUUGACUGACAGUGUCAUAAAAAUCCGGUCAUAAUCUAUUUUUACCAGUCAAUUACAUUUUUAAAAUGAUAAUAAUGACAUAUUCUAUAGUAUUUAGUUUUCAUUCAUUUUUAAUUAAUAUUCUGUCCGAAUAAGCUUAAUGUAGUGGAGAAAACUGGAUUCUCGCUGAUUCAGGUUGAUUUUAGCUGUGUUCACGUCAGUGUGUUGGCCAAACACCACUUAAGGCCCACUCAAAGUAGAGGCAAUCACGGCACUUGGACAGGUGGCUGGAUUUCUCCUUUUUCUUUAAUGCAAAUCCUCUUAAAUCAACUUUAUACAGUCCAUUCAUCCCAACUGUCCAUGUAGAUGUGGAAAUGGUUAUAUUCUUGAGUAGGUGUUUGUGGGUAUAUAUGUGUGUAUCUGUGUGUGUGGUUUAUCUGUACAAAAGACAUGAAAAGAAACAAUAAAUAAAUAUACAUUGCUUAAAUUCAACUUAAUUACAUUUAAACAUGUAGAUGGAAUAUUCGAAGUUAAGCUUGAACUAUUUUCUACGCUCCAGCUAAGCACUUCCGGUUUCGGGAACUUAUUGUGAAGGCGGAUUCACUCUACUUCCGGUGCGCUAUGCCGCAAUUUGUCGCUAUUUUAGAAUCGCAGCAUAGCAACACGCUAACGGACUACCUCGCAAAACAAUCGGACGAACUAUCAUAACAACAGCAAAAGGUAAUCAUAACAAAUUGUCUACGUAAAUAUGAAUGCUGCUUGUGAUACUCACUUUGCAUUUACGCACAGCAAUGAACAAACACACAAUUAGACGCACGCUCAUGUCGUGCAUCCACCCGUGACUUUCUUACUAUUGACAUCCGCAUUCUGGUACGGUGCAUGCGCAAUCCAACUUUUCACCUAUUUACGUCAGCCAAAUGUGGGAAUCAAAUGAUGCUGAAGGCAUUGAACGAGCAACUGUGAACAUCUUAAGCAAACAAUCACAUAACUUUGUAGCCUUUUCUACACUUAACAAGAGGCAAACAGACAGCGGAGUUCACCAAUAGGGAAUGGGACGUACUACGUCAUUGUUUGGACCCUCCUCCAUGCUGGCAAUAUAAUUCACUUCCGGGCCGGCAGAGUCAAUGCGGAUUGUAACGUGUGGUAGUGCUAAGCUAACUCUUUCGGUGUUUUAGAAAGAAAAUAUGGGUACUUAUUGUUGCGUUACCGGGUGCAACAGCGUCUCCUACGACAAAAAAAGGGGUUAGGAAAAAUGGACUCACUUUUCACCGUUUUCCUGCAUGGAGGACCAAAUAUCAGAUCACGAAGGUACGACGGAUGGCUGGAUUGCAGCGGUUCGUCGGAAAAGCAUUUCUUAUGAUCAUAUUUCUGCUGGAAUGAGAGUGUAUUCCCCUCAUCUCUACUCUUGAAAACCUGCAUAUGAAAUGCUGACAACACAUCCCGAUUGGUCACCAUAUCUCUUCUUGGGUUAUUCUGAGGUCAAGCGCACCACAUCGGAGCGUUAUGAGAGGUUGGAAAGGCGAAGAGUGCACGCUGAAACUUCAGUUUGCUCUGCUCUUACAAACACAAUCCCAAGUGUUGUUAUGAAAAGUCAAUAAAAUAUGAAUACCAAAA